GAUGAACGCUGGCGGCGUGCCUAAUACAUGCAAGUCGAGCGAACAGACGAGGAGCUUGCUCCUCUGACGUUAGCGGCGGACGGGUGAGUAACACGUGGAUAACCUACCUAUAAGACUGGGAUAACUUCGGGAAACCGGAGCUAAUACCGGAUAAUAUAUUGAACCGCAUGGUUCAAUAGUGAAAGACGGUUUUGCUGUCACUUAUAGAUGGAUCCGCGCCGCAUUAGCUAGUUGGUAAGGUAACGGCUUACCAUGGCAACGAUGCGUAGCCGACCUGAGAGGGUGAUCGGCCACACUGGAACUGAGACACGGUCCAGACUCCUACGGGAGGCAGCAGUAGGGAAUCUUCCGCAAUGGGCGAAAGCCUGACGGAGCAACGCCGCGUGAGUGAUGAAGGUCUUCGGAUCGUAAAACUCUGUUAUUAGGGAAGAAAAAAUGUGUAAGUAACUAUGCACGUCUUGACGGUACCUAAUCAGAAAGCCACGGCUAACUACGUG
rnacentral:rRNA from 1 species